AAGAAAACUACAAUGGUAUUGCUCUUUUUUCCCUCUUUUGCUGCAAUUGGUAAAGUGUGAACACAUUUGAUGGUAUCUGCUGCUGAGGAGAGUAUGGAGAAAUGGAUUCCCCUAAGUUACUGGCAGAAGUGCACAUUGGUACAACCUUUGGGAGAGCAGUUUUAGAAGCUGUGUUUUGAUGGGGAGACAUUUUGCUGAAGAGAAACAAGGCUUUUUAGGAAGGAAAUUCUGACACGUGCUACCACAUGGAUAAAACUUGAAGACAUUACGCUCAGCGAAAUAAUCCAAUCACAAAAAGACCAACACUGUAGGACUCCGUUUAUCUGAAGUAUCUACAACGCUCAAAUUCAUAGAGGCAGAAAGAGAAUGGUGGUUGCCAGCCACUGAGAGAAGGGGGAAAUGGAGAGUUGUUUAACAGCAGGGAACUAUAUGAUUUCUACUUCCAGCUGUGGAAAAAGGGAAGGAAGUUGAGUGGGAUAAUGCAAGAGAUUUC
rnacentral:lncRNA from 1 species